rnacentral:rRNA from 1 species
UACGAAGGGGGCUAGCGUUGCUCGGAAUUACUGGGCGUAAAGGGAGCGUAGGCGGACAUUUAAGUCAGGGGUGAAAUCCCAGAGCUCAACUCUGGAACUGCCUUUGAUACUGGGUGUCUUGAGUGUGAGAGAGGUAUGUGGAACUCCGAGUGUAGAGGUGAAAUUCGUAGAUAUUUGGAAGAACACCAGUGGCGAAGGCGACAUACUGGCUCAUUACUGACGCUGAGGCUCGAAAGCGUGGGGAGCAAACAGG